CGGGUCGUAGGGUAAUCGGUAGCCCACCUGCCUCGGGCGCAGGCGAGUGGAGGUUCGAGUCCUCCCGACCCGACCA
rnacentral:tRNA from 1 species